rnacentral:rRNA from 1 species
UACGGAGGGGGCUAGCGUUGUUCGGAAUUACUGGGCGUAAAGGGCGCGUAGGCGGCCUGUUAAGUCGAACGUGAAAUCCCCGGGCUCAACCCGGGAACUGCGUCCGAUACUGGCAGGCUCGAAUCCGGGAGAGGGAUGCGGAAUUCCAGGUGUAGCGGUGAAAUGCGUAGAUAUCUGGAGGAACACCGGUGGCGAAGGCGGCAUCCUGGACCGGCAUUGACGCUGAGGCGCGAAAGCCAGGGGAGCAAACGGG